GUGGGGAAUAUUGGACAAUGGGCGAAAGCCUGAUCCAGCCAUGCCGCGUGUGUGAAGAAGGUCUUCGGAUUGUAAAGCACUUUAAGUUGGGAGGAAGGGCAGUAAGUUAAUACCUUGCUGUUUUGACGUUACCAACAGAAUAAGCACCGGCUAACUUCGUGCCAGCAGCCGCGGUAAUACGAAGGGUGCAAGCGUUAAUCGGAAUUACUGGGCGUAAAGCGCGCGUAGGUGGUUUUGUAAGUUGGAGGUGAAAUCCCCGGGCUCAACCUGGGAACUGCCUCCAAAACUGCAUGACUAGAGUACGGUAGAGGGUAGUGGAAUUUCCUGUGUAGCGGUGAAAUGCGUAGAUAUAGGAAGGAACACCAGUGGCGAAGGCGACUACCUGGACUGAUACUGACACUGAGGUGCGAAAGCGUGGGGAGCAAACAGGAUUAGAAACCCGUGUAGUCC
rnacentral:rRNA from 1 species